AAGAAAAUUGACGCCAGAUCAUAACAAGAACACAAAGGCUAAUCCUAGUGUUUUGGAGAGAGAUGUGGAUACACAAGAAUUUAACCUAGAAAAAGCUCGUUUAGAAGUGCACCGGUUUGGUAUCACGGGUUAUGGAAAAGGAAAGGAGAGAAUCCUGGAACAGGAACGUGCCAUUAUGCUGGGCGCUAAGCCUCCUAAAAAGAGUUAUGUGAAUUACAAGGUUUUACAGGAGCAAAUUAAAGAAAAAAAGGCAGCAAAGGAAGAAGAAAAGAGACUGGAAUGCCUGAUGCUGCGUAAUUUAUAAAGAAAGGAGGCUGAUUUGGAGCAUGGUUCUGCAGACUGCAUGGAAAGCAUAGCACUGGCAUCUGCUCGGCCUCCGGCCCAAGAAACAGAUAUUUUC
rnacentral:lncRNA from 10 species